rnacentral:lncRNA from 1 species
GAUAACGCUGCCGCCGCCGCCUCCCCGCGCACGGGCAGUGUGGCCAGGGGCGGCAGCCAGAGCAGCAGCCACCACCGCCCUUGGCGCGGCCCCAUUUCGUUAGGGGUCAGCUCCGUGCGACCCGAGCCCUAGGGGACCGGCUCCGCUGCGAGGAGCGGAAGUGGCGCGGGGGCUCAGAGAAGGCGGAGGGGGCGGUGAGGCCCGAACGCGGGAAAGGCGGAGACCCCGCCUCCCCGGGGCGGAGGGAGAGUUGGGCUCGUUGCUCCAGCCUCCGCCCGCGGCCUCGGGGCACGGCGGGCCCAGGCCGGAGGAGCUUUCGGUGGCGCGACCCCGCUGGCAUGCUCCCGGCCUCGGCCUCGGCCUCGGCCUUGGCCUCCGGGCCUCCAGCGCACGCGGGGCGUCCAGGGCCUCAUCUUCCCCUGGGGACCGCCCGGCCGUGUCCCGCUGCCCUCGGCGCAGGGGUGGGAGUUGCAGAGAGGAAGAGUCGCUAACCCGGAGUGUUUCUUAAAACUUGGCUGACCUGUGACCUGCGGAUUUGGAGGCUGAAUUCUCCGAGCACCUGAAGCUACUGCAGGAUAUAAUCUAAGAAAAUAAGGGGAAGAAAACAAGAAAGAGGAAGACAUUGGAUCCAAGAAAUGGGGGAUCUAUCACCUUACAGAUGAAAAGAGAAUCUACAUGAUCUUUGUGAAGACAGAUAUGACCUUGGGACUUGCUUUAGCCAGUGGAAUGGAAGCAGAAGUAACCUGUAAUUUCCAGGUAUAUGUUUUAAAAGUCUGUGUGUAAUUUGCUACUCUUCUCCCUUUGCCGUAUGCCUGGUUUGUCUCUUUUCCCUCCCCUUCUCCCACUUCUUCCUUUUAAUAGACUGGAAAUGUUCCAGAUAGUACCAGCUCUUUAAACCUGAGUCCUAGAGUAAAGAUGGCAGAGUGGAGCCUCAAGCCAACGUGUGACAGAUAUGUAAAUAGACCAAGAAAUAAAUCUUUGGGUGUUUUGAAGCACCUGAGACUCUGAGGUUGUCUGUUAUUGAAACGUAACCUAGCCUACCCUGACUGCUGCAGGUUUUCUCAAGAUUAAUGAGAUAAUAUGCAUAAGAUGUUGGACUAAUGGUAGAGCAUUUUUAUGGGUCCUUUUGCAAUAAUAUUAGGUUGGUGCAAAAGUAAUUGUGGUUUUUGCCAUUAGUUUCAGAGUUAUUAUUAAUACAAUUUAUU